rnacentral:rRNA from 1 species
GUCCUCCUUGUGUAAUAUUAGGAGGUUUGACCUGCCCAGUGAAUUUAUUUAACGGCCGCGGUACUUUGACCGUGCAAAGGUAGCAUAAUCAUUAGUCUUUUAAAAGGAGGCUGGAAUGAAGGGUUUGACGAGGAAUUUACUGUCUCAUUUUUUUUGAAUUAAAAUUUAACUUUUUAGUCAAAAGGCUAAAAUAUUAUUGGAAGACGAGAAGACCCUAUAGAGCUUUAUAAUUGUUCGUUUAUUUAUAUUAUAUUAUUUAUAUUUAUUUUGAAUAGUUAUUCGGUUGGGGUGACGAAAAUACAUAAAUAACUUUUUUAUCUUGAAUACAUUGAUUUAUGAAUAUAGGAUCCAUUAUUAUUGAUUAAUAGAUUAAGUUACCUUAGGGAUAACAGCGUAAUCUUCUUCCAGAGUUCAUAUUUACGGGAGGGCUUGCGACCUCGAUGUUGGAUUAAGAUAAUAUUUGGGUGCAGCUGCUUGAAUAAUAGGUCUGUUCGACCUUUAAAUUCUU